UGAACGCUGGCGGCGUGCCUACUACAUGCAAGUCGAGCGAACGGACGAGAAGCUUGCUUUUCUGAUGUUAGCGGCGGACGGGUGAGUAACACGUGGAUAACCUACCUAUAAGACUGGGAUAACUUCGGGAAACCGGAGCUAAUACCGGAUAAUAUUUUGAACCGCAUGGUUCAAAAGUGAAAGACGGUCUUGCUGUCACUUAUAGAUGGAUCCGCGCUGCAUUAGCUAGUUGGUAAGGUAACGGCUUACCAAGGCAACGAUGCAUAGCCGACCUGAGAGGGUGAUCGGCCACACUGGAACUGAGACACGGUCCAGACUCCUACGGGAGGCAGCAGUAGGGAAUCUUCCGCAAUGGGCGAAAGCCUGACGGAGCAACGCCGCGUGAGUGAUGAAGGUCCUCGGAUCGUAAAACUCUGUUAUUAGGGAAGAACAUAUGUGUAAGUAACUGUGCACAUCUUGACGGUACCUAAUCAGAAAGCCACGGCUAACUACGUG
rnacentral:rRNA from 1 species